rnacentral:rRNA from 1 species
AUUGAACGCUGGCGGCAGGCCUAACACAUGCAAGUCGAGCGGCAGCGGGAAAGUAGCUUGCUACUUUUGCCGGCGAGCGGCGGACGGGUGAGUAAUGCCUGGGAAAUUGCCCAGUCGAGGGGGAUAACAGUUGGAAACGACUGCUAAUACCGCAUACGCCCUAUGGGGGAAAGCAGGGGACCUUCGGGCCUGGCGCGAUUCGAUCUGCCCAGGUGGGAUUAGCUAGUUGGUGAGGUAAUGGCUCACCAAGGCGACGAUCCCUAGCUGGUCUGAGAGGAUGAUCAGCCACACUGGAACUGAGACACGGUCCAGACUCCUACGGGAGGCAGCAGUGGGGAAUAUUGCACAAUGGGAGAAACCCUGAUGCAGCCAUGCCGCGUGUGUGAAGAAGGCCUUCGGGUUGUAAAGCACUUUCAGCGAGGAGGAAAGGUUGAUGCCUAAUACGUAUCAACUGUGACGUUACUCGCAGAAGAAGCACCGGCUAACUCCGUGCCAGCAGCCGCAGUAAAAC